CUCCAUCUUCAGCUACUGCCAAGUCUACACAACAAGACUAUGUUAAAUUUAGCAAUCCGAACGAUUCGAAAGGAAAUGAAAAAGCUCGUGACUAGGAUUAUUAUAUACAAGUUCUGUAGUGAGGCAAAGGUUCUAAUAAGGAUAAGUACGA